UUGCUUUUUAUUUCUUGUUCCUCUGUAAGAACACGUGCAAGUCUCAGGAUGCUGGGCUACAUGAAUCCUUUGCAAUAGUUUUGAAUCCUGUUUCUGUGCUUUCUGCAACUAAUAAUUCAGAAAAACAGCCCUAAAAGCCCCGGGUUACCCAACCCAGCCCACGCAGUCAGAGGGAAGCACUAAGUACGGCUCAGUGGGGCUGAGCACAAGUCGUGACAGUCAGAUGAGGAUUGCUAACGGGGUCUAACCCCAUUGCCACAUGUGCUGCUGCAGCUCCCUGUCUCCCAGAACCGGGCAUCACUUGGAGAAGUGACCACUGGAUCCUGCCUCGUGGCCAGAAGCAGGUCCUGAGAUCACCAGCAACCGACGGGAGCAUCCCUGCUUCGUGGUUUGCACACAGAUUGGUGAAUCCCGGGCUUGAGGGGGGGGGGAGGAAAGAAAAUGAGGAAUAAAAAGAGCCAGCUGUCACUGUCUGUAGGAACGGCCAGAACUCAUGACAGCAGAUGAGUGGCCAGAAAUAGCAAGGCACAACCUCCAGGGAUCUAUAUUUGGGCCACCCAGACUUCCCUGGAAACACGGCGGGGUUGCCACAUUCUGCAGACGCGCUCCUGGCCGGUGCUUCAGCCUCUCCUCGGGCUUUGUUUCCCCGGGGAUUCAUUUUCCAUCACGGCCUGAGGGAGCGAUUCACCCAGAGGAUCCGGGAGGCGCUGAGCAUCGGACGCAGGACCACAAGAUUUCACAGGCUGUGCUAACGCCGUGCUAGCUUCUCCCAGCAGGGAAAGCAGAGCUGGGCACACCAGGCUUCCUGCUCCUGGAAGCAAGGAGGUGGCCACGAUGCGUGCCAGUAUGCUGAAGGUCAGAGCCUUAGCUUUUUACCUACUUGCUGUGCUCUCCUGGGGAGAUACGAGCAGUUCCCGGUGUGUCUAAGUACAGAUAUCCUGUUCAGCUACACUGAUAGUUGUCUUCAGUGUUUUUCUGCCCAGACGUCAGGAAAAAAAAAGAGUGAGAUCAGUUUAAAGAUUUACCGGAGCGCGUGGGAAUAGCAAAUACUUCAAGAAAGUGACGUUGGAAAUGCCUCAGACGGUGCAGAUGCGAGCGGGUGAAAUUCCUCAACCUAAAAAAGGUCAGAUCAGAGGAUUAAGAAGGGUUCCUCCAGCACCGAAUUACAUCUUCCACAUUCGGUCCUGCAGGGGAAAGAGUCACCAUGGCUCUCCUCUUGCAAGGGUAAAUUCCCUGAUUUGGGUUCAGCUGCUGCAAGUUCAGCUGGAGGGCAGCCAGAGCGAACGAACCCCUUACAUCCCCUGCAAAACUUAAAAUUUACACCGACAAAACCACAUCACGGGUAGUUUUAAUUUUCCCAUAUUGUUACAAUUACAAAAAGCAUUUUUUCCCCAUUUAUUCCACGUCAUUACACUCGUGCUUUAUUACAAAUAUAUUUAAAAGCUCCACUGCAAAGCGUUGCCUGAUGAUGAGGUGACACUGCUGGAUUUGGGGUGCUGACUCCUCAUUUUUGGAGCUGUGAAUGAACCACAAGCCUCUCCCCAAAACGGGUGAGAUAAGGUUGCUCAGCAUGAGGGAAAGCUAAUAGAUGGCAACUUGAAAAGUGACUUCUGCUGUGGAAACUGAUUUUUAGUUAAACCAAGGGAAAAAAAAAAAACAACUGGGAGGGAACACAGGGAUCCCAUAAAGGGAUCUCAGAAACCCUGUGCACGUGCAGAUAGAGAUGUAAGGAAGAUGCACCCUGUAAACAGGUGCAGUUGAGG
rnacentral:lncRNA from 1 species